CCCUUAGAUGUCCUGGGCCGCACGCGCGCUACACUGACAUGUUCAACAAGCCUCCUAGUUCGACAGGAUUUGGGAAAUCUUUGAACGCAUGUCGUGAUAGGGAUAGAUCAUUGCAAUUAUUGAUCUUGAACGAGGAAUUCCUAGUAAACGCGAGUCAUCAGCUCGCAUUGAUUACGUCCCUGCCCUUUGUACACACCGCCCGUCGCACCUACCGAUUGAAUGUUUCGGUGAAGAUUCCGGAUAGGACUUUUUUGAUUUAUUUCAAUUCUGUCUUAAAAGCUAUCUAAACCUCACCAUUUAGAGGAAGGUGAAGUCGUAACA
rnacentral:rRNA from 1 species